rnacentral:rRNA from 1 species
GCAAGUCGAACGGUAACAGGCCUUCGGGCGCUGACGAGUGGCGAACGGGUGAGUAACGCAUCGGAACGUGCCCAGUCGUGGGGGAUAACGCAGCGAAAAGCUGUGCUAAUACCGCAUACGAUCUGCGGAUGAAAGCGGGGGGACCCUCGGGCCUCGCGCGAUUGGAGCGGCCGAUGUCAGAUUAGGUAGUUGGUGGGGUAAAGGCCCACCAAGCCAACGAUCUGUAGCUGGUCUGAGAGGACGACCAGCCACACUGGGACUGAGACACGGCCCAGACUCCUACGGGAGGCAGCAGUGGGGAAUUUUGGACAAUGGGCGCAAGCCUGAUCCAGCAAUGCCGCGUGCAGGAAGAAGGCCUUCGGGUUGUAAACUGCUUUUGUACGGAACGAAAAAGUCCGGGGUUAAUACCCUGGGCCCAUGACGGUACCGUAAGAAUAAGCACCGGCUAACUACGUGCCAGCAGCCGCGGUAAUACGUAGGGUGCAAGCGUUAAUCGGAAUUACUGGGCGUAAAGCGUG